rnacentral:rRNA from 1 species
ACCGUGCCGGGGCCCCUGGUGACCCCGGUGCGAGACGAUGACGAAACCCGAAGGCGCAAAGAAAUUGAAAACGAGUCCAGCACUCGUCGAGGGAAGAUGGCGACGGAUCCGGCCCGACAGGGUGAGCGCAGAUCGGCCCGCAUUCCCGGGGUGCCUCAUCCGCCGGCCGGCAACGGUCGACGAGAGGUGCGCCCAGAGCAUACACGCUGGGACCCGAAAGAUGGUGAACUAUGCCUGGCCAGGAC